rnacentral:rRNA from 1 species
UACAGAGACUGCAAGCGUUAUUCGGAUUCACUGGGCGUAAAGGGUGCGCAGGCGGCCGAGUGUGUGAGGCGUGAAAGCCCGGGGCUUAACCCCGGAAUUGCACCUCAAACUACACGGCUAGAGCAUUGGAGAGGGUAGCAGAAUUCAUGGUGUAGCAGUGAAAUGCGUAGAUAUCAUGAGGAACCCCAGAGGCGAAGGCGGCGCCCUGGCUCGCAACUGACGCUCAGACACGACAGCAUGGGGAGCGAACGGG